UUAAGCGACUAAGCGUACACGGUGGAUGCCCUGGCAGUCAGAGGCGAUGAAGGACGUGCUAAUCUGCGAUAAGCGUCGGUAAGGUGAUAUGAACCGUUAUAACCGGCGAUUUCCGAAUGGGGAAACCCAGUGUGAUUCGUCACACUAUCAUUAACUGAAUCCAUAGGUUAAUGAGGCGAACCGGGGGAACUGAAACAUCUAAGUACCCCGAGGAAAAGAAAUCAACCGAGAUUCCCCCAGUAGCGGCGAGCGAACGGGGAGGAGCCCAGAGCCUGAAUCAGUGUGUGUGUUAGUGGAAGCGUCUGGAAAGGCGCGCGAUACAGGGUGACAGCCCCGUACACAAAAAUGCACAUACUGUGAGCUCGAUGAGUAGGGCGGGACACGUGGUAUCCUGUCUGAAUAUGGGGGGACCAUCCUCCAAGGCUAAAUACUCCUGACUGACCGAUAGUGAACCAGUACCGUGAGGGAAAGGCGAAAAGAACCCCGGCGAGGGGAGUGAAAAAGAACCUGAAACCGUGUACGUACAAGCAGUGGGAGCCUCUUAAUGGGGUGACUGCGUACCUUUUGUAUAAUGGGUCAGCGACUUAUAUUCUGUAGCAAGGUUAACCGAAUAGGGGAGCCGAAGGGAAACCGAGUCUUAACUGGGCGUUAAGUUGCAGGGUAUAGACCCGAAACCCGGUGAUCUAGCUAUGGGCAGGUUGAAGGUUGGGUAACACUAACUGGAGGACCGAACCGACUAAUGUUGAAAAAUUAGCGGAUGACUUGUGGCUGGGGGUGAAAGGCCAAUCAAACCGGGAGAUAGCUGGUUCUCCCCGAAAGCUAUUUAGGUAGCGCCUCGUGAAUUCAUCUCCGGGGGUAGAGCACUGUUUCGGCAAGGGGGUCAUCCCGACUUACCAACCCGAUGCAAACUGCGAAUACCGGAGAAUGUUAUCACGGGAGACACACGGCGGGUGCUAACGUCCGUCGUGAAGAGGGAAACAACCCAGACCGCCAGCUAAGGUCCCAAAGUCAUGGUUAAGUGGGAAACGAUGUGGGAAGGCCCAGACAGCCAGGAUGUUGGCUUAGAAGCAGCCAUCAUUUAAAGAAAGCGUAAUAGCUCACUGGUCGAGUCGGCCUGCGCGGAAGAUGUAACGGGGCUAAACCAUGCACCGAAGCUGCGGCAGCGACGCUUAUGCGUUGUUGGGUAGGGGAGCGUUCUGUAAGCCUGUGAAGGUGGCCUGUGAGGGUUGCUGGAGGUAUCAGAAGUGCGAAUGCUGACAUAAGUAACGAUAAAGCGGGUGAAAAGCCCGCUCGCCGGAAGACCAAGGGUUCCUGUCCAACGUUAAUCGGGGCAGGGUGAGUCGACCCCUAAGGCGAGGCCGAAAGGCGUAGUCGAUGGGAAACAGGUUAAUAUUCCUGUACUUGGUGUUACUGCGAAGGGGGGACGGAGAAGGCUAUGUUGGCCGGGCGACGGUUGUCCCGGUUUAAGCGUGUAGGCUGGUUUUCCAGGCAAAUCCGGAAAAUCAAGGCUGAGGCGUGAUGACGAGGCACUACGGUGCUGAAGCGACAAAUGCCCUGCUUCCAGGAAAAGCCUCUAAGCAUCAGGUAACAUCAAAUCGUACCCCAAACCGACACAGGUGGUCAGGUAGAGAAUACCAAGGCGCUUGAGAGAACUCGGGUGAAGGAACUAGGCAAAAUGGUGCCGUAACUUCGGGAGAAGGCACGCUGAUAUGUAGGUGAAGCGACUUGCUCGUGGAGCUGAAAUCAGUCGAAGAUACCAGCUGGCUGCAACUGUUUAUUAAAAACACAGCACUGUGCAAACACGAAAGUGGACGUAUACGGUGUGACGCCUGCCCGGUGCCGGAAGGUUAAUUGAUGGGGUUAGCGGUAACGCGAAGCUCUUGAUCGAAGCCCCGGUAAACGGCGGCCGUAACUAUAACGGUCCUAAGGUAGCGAAAUUCCUUGUCGGGUAAGUUCCGACCUGCACGAAUGGCGUAAUGAUGGCCAGGCUGUCUCCACCCGAGACUCAGUGAAAUUGAACUCGCUGUGAAGAUGCAGUGUACCCGCGGCAAGACGGAAAGACCCCGUGAACCUUUACUAUAGCUUGACACUGAACAUUGAGCCUUGAUGUGUAGGAUAGGUGGGAGGCUUUGAAGUGUGGACGCCAGUCUGCAUGGAGCCGACCUUGAAAUACCACCCUUUAAUGUUUGAUGUUCUAACGUGGGCCCCUUACCGGGGUUGCGGACAGUGUCUGGUGGGUAGUUUGACUGGGGCGGUCUCCUCCUAAAGAGUAACGGAGGAGCACGAAGGUUGGCUAAUCCUGGUCGGACAUCAGGAGGUUAGUGCAAUGGCAUAAGCCAGCUUGACUGCGAGCGUGACGGCGCGAGCAGGUGCGAAAGCAGGUCAUAGUGAUCCGGUGGUUCUGAAUGGAAGGGCCAUCGCUCAACGGAUAAAAGGUACUCCGGGGAUAACAGGCUGAUACCGCCCAAGAGUUCAUAUCGACGGCGGUGUUUGGCACCUCGAUGUCGGCUCAUCACAUCCUGGGGCUGAAGUAGGUCCCAAGGGUAUGGCUGUUCGCCAUUUAAAGUGGUACGCGAGCUGGGUUUAGAACGUCGUGAGACAGUUCGGUCCCUAUCUGCCGUGGGCGCUGGAGAACUGAGGGGGGCUGCUCCUAGUACGAGAGGACCGGAGUGGACGCAUCACUGGUGUUCGGGUUGUCAUGCCAAUGGCACUGCCCGGUAGCUAAAUGCGGAAGAGAUAAGUGCUGAAAGCAUCUAAGCACGAAACUUGCCCCGAGAUGAGUUCUCCCUGACUCCUUGAGAGUCCUGAAGGAACGUUGAAGACGACGACGUUGAUAGGCCGGGUGUGUAAGCGCAGCGAUGCGUUGAGCUAACCGGUACUAAUGAACCGUGAGGCUUAACCUU
rnacentral:rRNA from 1 species